CUGAAUUCAUCUCACUUCUCCCCCAAAAUAUGACUAUAUGAUUAUAACUUCUCAAUAAUGUUGUUUGGCAUAGACAUAGCUUAUGCAAGACCUCUUGGCUUUUUAAAAUCCCCUGUAUUUCUGAUCUUUUAGAUCUUUCUCCUCAUGACUCUGUCACUGAAGAAUGACCUGGUCCUGGUCAAGAACAGUACAAACAGGAUCAAGAUUCAGGAGGGAACUGAACAUUCCAUGUUAGAUAGUAACUGGAGCUGGAGUGGGGUCACUCAAGUUUUGGUGUUAAUGAAUUCCACAAGAUGACCAAGCACUUCCAACUGCAAAAGAUGGAACGAUUGUUUGAUUUCAGAGAAGAAAAACUUAAUUCAAUCCGUUCCAAAAGGGAGGCAAAUUUCCAGGCUAGCAUGAGUGAAGUCAGGAGCUUCAGAUACCAUCUGACCUGGAAGUUUAUGAUGUUACAGAAUAUACUGAGAACCAUAUACCCCUGCAAGUGUCAAGAGUCAGUUUUGAUCUGCCUUAAAAUAGUAACGAAUGAUAAUGUCUCCAAAUAUUACAUCUGCCAAUAUCCAGCUGAUUUCCUUGGAAUUUUGGAGAGGUCUAAGGAGCGAAUCCACUCUUAAAGUUGUCUAUUUAUGAUUCCAAAGAGGACACAAAGGGAAGUUGUCUUCACUGCAUAAUUACUCUGGGCAACUCUGCCUGCGGAGUACCUGCCGCUUAUGAGGCCCACACAGAAAGGAGCGCAAAGCUCACAGCAAGAGCCGCCUUCUGUCUUUGUUCCAAGAAGCUGAUUGUUUCCCACUUGCUGGGCAAGCCUAUGCCCAGACUGUCUUUGCUUUCCUACUUGAAAGCAAGCCCUUGCGAAGGAAGACAUGUUGAGACUCACAGAACACACGUCUUGGAAGGAACCGUCGAGACCUCUAUGUUCAGCUUCCCCUCUUUUCUCAAAAACUGUAAAAAGUUCACUUCAGUGAGUCUGAAGCAUCGUGACAAAUAUCUCCAGCAAUAGGCUUUUACCUUCAAUAGCAACAGCAACAGGCAGUUCAAGAAGGUGCCGCGGAAAGGGACAAGCUUCCUGAUAGAUUAUCCAAGGCCAAGGGGACAGCCAUAAAUACACGUACACAUGAGCAACACUAGCCGGGUUCGGCAGGUUGUAUUAAAUACACUUACAUAUAUAUGUUCGUUCGUGUAACAGUAAGAAUUAAGGAGGACGAGGUCAUGAUUUUGAGAGGGAGUUGAGACUGAGAAACAUUGGAAGAGCUGGGUGGGGAGGAGUCAGGUGGAAGUGAUGUAAACACUCGUGAAAUUCUCAGGAAAAAAAAAAAGACUCCAGAAAAACGUUACAUUGGAAAAGAAGCAUUUUUGAAUUUCACAGUCCUUCCCUCUGACAUAGAUACUCGCUCCAUUCUUUUAACUCCAAACCAUCAUAUGUAUAGUGCAGUGUAAUGCCAGAUGAUAGAGAUUACAUCCGUGUAUGAGCCUCUC
rnacentral:lncRNA from 1 species